GUGAUCUGACCACCACACCAACAGCAUGGAUAACAAGGCUUCAGAUGCAGGGCAGAUCUGUGUAGAGGAAACAUUAACAGAAUCAUUGUAUCUAGGAUAAACAUCUGAAUGAACAGUUGUUUUCUAGAAGAAUUUAGACCUUGAAGAAAUCAUUGUGGAAAACAGUGAUUGUUUGGUGUUAUCUACGGAGUCCGUUUUCUGAAAGAGCGUUACAGCCUUUGUAUGCUUUGGUCACAAGAUGGUCCUGGCACACCUGGAUGUCUUGAAUAAUUGGUUACUGCAAACUGUACACAAUAAGGACUGAAGUUACAGGCUUGUGAUGUUUCCCUUCAGAGAACAUACAGAUUACAUCAGGGGCUUUGGUAUGAAGACUUGUUUUACCCCCAAACCAACUUUUAUGUAACAAUCAAUAAACAGACUUUUGCUCAGCAGUCUGUCCCUGCUGCCAGAGAGUCUAAAAUUCAUCUUGGAGUGACCCUCUUUCUUCAACUGACCCACACAGCACAGAACGCCUGACAGGUCUGUAGAGAAGGGUGGGGAGAGCUGGGCACAGACACGCAAUCCCGGGCCCUAGCAAUCAGGAAGAUGGCUGUGGAUUCAGAGUUAGCCUGGGCUGUGUGGUGAGACUUGUUUCACAAAAGCAAAAAUGAACCUGAGCUAGAGAGAGAGAGAGAGAGAGAGAGAGAGAGAGAGAGAGAGAGAGAGAGAGAGAGAUGAUGGUGAUGAUGAACAGAGGUCACUUCCUAAAUUCUGGACAUUCUCCCUCCAUGGAAUCAUUAUCCAAAAUGCAACUAUUAAAUAAAAAUUGUGUAGUGCUGGAGAUAGCUCACUGGUUAAGAGCACUUACUGGUCUUCCAGAGGACCUGAGUUCAGUUCCCAGCACCCACAUCUGAUGGUUCACAACUGUCAGCUCCAAGAGGAUCCCAUGCCUAUUGCCUCCAACCUCCGCAGGCACCUGCAUUCAUGAGCACACACAUACAUGUAAUUUAAAUAAUGAAAAUAAAUCUUAGUUGUGUAGGGUUGGAGAUGUAGCUCAGUUGGUAAAAUGUUUCCCUACCAUGAAUGAAAUGUUGGAUUCAGUCUCAAGCAUCACAUAAAAGCUAAGUUACGGAGCAUCACAUGGGAGCUACAAGCAGGAGGACCAGAAGUUCAAGGUCAUCCUCAGAUACUUAGCAAGUUUAAAGACAGUCCGGACAACGUGAGAUUCUGCCUCCAAAAUAGAAAUAACUCCCCAUCCCUUGUUUUUUUUUCAAGACCGGGUUUCUCUGCAUAACAGCCCUGGCUGUCCUGGAACUCACUUUUUAGACCAAGCUGCCCUUGAGUCUGCCUCCCAAGUGAUGGGAUUAAAGGUGAAUGCCACCACACUGGGCAAUAUAUAUAUUUUAAAUUAUGGGACUAGGUGCCUAUAGUGGUUCAAAUGAACCAACCAGCCUAGACUUUAAUCACAAUAGUGGGCUUUUGUUGGUUAUAAGACACCUAGUAGCCAAUGCACUAAAGAACUCUUUGACACCUAACUAAGCUGUGCAGUGUUAAGGUGUUCCUGUGCUCUGCUGUCUAUGGAUGCUGCACGAUCUGGUUAUUGGUUGGAGACCUCAGAACUGGUUCUGCUUGUGGGACUUGCCUGAUCCUGAGCUCUUCUCUGCUCAGAUAAGCUUCACUAGAGUGCACUGGGUGAAGGACUGUUCCUUUCAGCUCCAGCAUAAUAUGCUUUUGUCCUGUAAUACUCUUCCAGCCAGGGUGGUGUUGCAAGAAGCCCCACUUGCUAAUGAAUAGCAGGUGCGGGGAAAGGAAGUCUGGGUCUGUUUUUGCUCACUAGCAACACCUGCUUCUCUUUUUGGUACAGGGAAUCUAACCGAGGGCCUCACAAAUACUAGGGUCCCAAGUAGCUGAGGAUAACCAUGGACUCCUGGUUCUCUUACCACCUCCUCCCCAGUACUGGAACUGUAAGCGCGCCCCACCGUGACCAGUUUUAAAGAUGGAAUUGUCCAUUGUGGAAAAACAAAACAAAACAAAAAAAUGGCAGCAAUCACACACACUCCCCGAGAGACCAAAGCCUUGGGCUCUGCACACCCUACCUGCCGCACACAAAGGAAAAGCUGGAGGGGGAAUCCAAAGGCUGUGAAGAGAGAAAAGACGGAAGUAAUCCUCAAGGAUUGUCCUCAAGGUCGUCUGCUAACCCUGCCCUCCAGGGCCAGAGCCCACGCCUGAAAAGUCCCCUGCAAAGAAAGCAGUGAAGUCGUCUCAGGACGGAGAGCGCUAGGCCGACGGAGAGUGCAAGGCGGACACCGACAGAGAUGCAGUGGCCCUGCCCCACACGCAGAUGCCAACGGGGCAGGCCCCAGGACGGAAGGUGCUGCCCAUGUCCGGUGGGGUGUGUGCUUUUAAGGAAGUGCACAUUUCUGGCACCUAUGCAGUUUUUUCCCAAAUUGGAUUUCAUUUUACUUCCCCCCUAAACUAUGCUAUGUUGUCAGCAUGCAGGACACAUCCUGGUAUUUAUUUACCGAUUCGUUCGUUCAUUCAUUAUUUAUUUGUUUAUUUACAGUC